rnacentral:rRNA from 1 species
GACGAACGCUGGCGGCGUGCCUAAUACAUGCAAGUCGAACGAACCGCGACUAAGUGCUUGCACUAAGUCAAGGUGAGUGGCGAACGGGUGAGUAACACGUGGGUAACCUACCUCAUAGUGGGGGAUAACAGUCGGAAACGACUGCUAAUACCGCAUAGGACAUAGGAUCACAUGAUCCAGUGAGGAAAGGUGGCGCAAGCUAUCGCUAAGAGAUGGACCCGCGGUGCACUAGCUAGUUGGUAGGGUAAAGGCCUACCAAGGCGAUGAUGCAUAGCCGACCUGAGAGGGUGAUCGGCCACAUUGGGACUGAGACACGGCCCAAACUCCUACGGGAGGCAGCAGUAGGGAAUCUUCCGCAAUGGACGCAAGUCUGACGGAGCAACGCCGCGUGAGUGAAGAAGGUCUUCGGAUCGUAAAGCUCUGUUGUUAGAGAAGAACAGCGCAUAGAGUAACUGCUAUGCGUGUGACGGUAUCUAACCAGAAAGCCACGGCUAACUACGUG